rnacentral:rRNA from 1 species
UACGAAGGGGGGCUAGCGUUGUUCGGAAUUACUGGGCGUAAAGCGCACGUAGGCGGAUUUGCCAGUCAGGGGUGAAAUCCCGGGGCUCAACCUCGGAACUGCCCUUGAUACAGCAAAUCUUGAGUCCGGAAGAGGUGAGUGGAAUUCCUAGUGUAGAGGUGAAAUUCGUAGAUAUUAGGAAGAACACCAGUGGCGAAGGCGGCUCACUGGUCCGGUACUGACGCUGAGGUGCGAAAGCGUGGGGAGCAAACAGG